rnacentral:tRNA from 1 species
CGGCUUUUUAGUAUUUUUUGGUAUUUUUGUUUUCCAAACAAAAGGAUUUUAAAGUCAA